UUAGUACUCCCUCCGUUCGGAAUUACUUGUCGUGGAAAUGGAUGUAUCUAGACGUAUUUUAGUUCUAGAUACAUUCAUUUCCGAGACAAGUAAUUCCGAACGGAGGGAGUACUAU
rnacentral:pre_miRNA from 1 species